rnacentral:rRNA from 1 species
AGAGUUUGAUCCUGGCUCAGGAUGAACGCUAGCGGCAGGCUUAACACAUGCAAGUCGAGGGGCAGCGGCCCUGUAGCAAUACAGGGUGCCGGCGACCGGCGCAAGGGUGCGUAACGCGUGAGCAACAUGCCCGUGUCAGGGGGAUAAGCGAUGGAAACGUCGUCUAAUACCGCAUAACAACUCAGGAGGCAUCUUCUGAGUUUGAAAUAUUCAUAGGACACGGAUUGGCUCGCGAGGCAUUAGCUGGUUGGUGAGGUAACGGCUCACCAAGGCGACGAUGCCUAGGGGUUCUGAGAGGAAGGUCCCCCACACCGGAACUGAGACACGGUCCAGACUCCUACGGGAGGCAGCAGUGAGGAAUAUUGGACAAUGGUCGGAAGACUGAUCCAGCCAUGCCGCGUGAAGGCAGACGGUCCUAUGGAUUGUAAACUUCUUUUGUACGGGAACAAUAAGGGUCACGUGUGGCCCGAUGAGAGUACCGUACGAAUAAGCAUCGGCUAACUCCGUGCCAGCAGCCGCGGUAAUACGGAGGAUGCGAGCGUUAUCCGGAUUUAUUGGGUUUAAAGGGUGCGUAGGCGGAAUGGUAAGUCAGCGGUGAAACGCAGGUGCUCAACACCUGACCUGCCGUUGAAACUGUCGUUCUUGAAUGCGGAUGCUGUGGGAGGAAUGUGUGGUGUAGCGGUGAAAUGCAUAGAUAUCACACAGAACACCGAUUGCGAAGGCAUCUCACAAAUCCGUAAUUGACGCUGAGGCACGAAAGUGCGGGGAUCGAACAGGAUUAGAUACCCUGGUAGUCCGCACAGUAAACGAUGAUAACUCGCUGUCGGCGAUAGACGGUCGGCGGCCCAGCGAAAG